rnacentral:rRNA from 1 species
UGCAAGUCGAACGAGCGAGAGAGAGCUUGCUUUCUCGAGCGAGUGGCGAACGGGUGAGUAACGCGUGAGGAACCUGCCUCAAAGAGGGGGACAACAGUUGGAAACGACUGCUAAUACCGCAUAAGCCCACGGGUCGGCAUCGACCAGAGGGAAAAGGAGCAAUCCGCUUUGAGAUGGCCUCGCGUCCGAUUAGCUAGUUGGUGAGGUAAUGGCCCACCAAGGCGACGAUCGGUAGCCGGACUGAGAGGUUGAACGGCCACAUUGGGACUGAGACACGGCCCAGACUCCUACGGGAGGCAGCAGUGGGGAAUAUUGCACAAUGGGGGAAACCCUGAUGCAGCGACGCCGCGUGGAGGAAGAAGGUCUUCGGAUUGUAAACUCCUGUUGUUGAGGAAGAUAAUGACGGUACUCAACAAGGAAGUGACGGCUAACUACGUGCCAGCAGCCGCGGUAAAACGUAGGUCACAAGCGUUGUCCGGAAUUACUGGGUGUAAAGGGAGCGCAGGCGGGAAGACAAGUUGGAAGUGAAAUCUAUGGGCUCAACCCAUAAACUGCUUUCAAAACUGUUUUUCUUGAGUAGUGCAGAGGUAGGCGGAAUUCCCGGUGUAGCGGUGGAAUGCGUAGAUAUCGGGAGGAACACCAGUGGCGAAGGCGGCCUACUGGGCACCAACUGACGCUGAGGCUCGAAAGUGUGGGUAGCAAACAGGAUUAGAUACCCUGGUAGUCCACACCGUAAACGAUGAUUACUAGGUGUUGGAGGAUUGACCCCUUCAGUGCCGCAGUUAACACAAUAAGUAAUCCACCUGGGG